CUUUCUUUCCCCUGUGAUUUCCCCCCCGUUAAGUAAAUUCAGCCAAGGAUUUUUCACACGGGUUCCAACUAGUCUUCUGGAGCCAUGGGAAAGUGGAUUACUCAAAUUUAGAAGUUGCCGUAUCAAAAAUGACCAUCUACUGAACAGAUUUAUGAGCCGUGGCACUAGCUUGGCCUUUGGAAAAUGAAGGGGCUCCGGAGGCCACAGGCCGGGGGCUCAGCUGAUUCUAGAACUCAACAUUAUCUGCGUCAUCAUCGUUAUAAGCAUCCGGACCGCAGAGCAGAGCUUCUGCUGGGGCUCCUGUUUCCGUGGCAACAGCUUCACUGGCCUGUCACAGAAAGGAGGAAGAAAGAGGAGGGGGGAGAGGCAGGAGGAAGCGGCGGGGCAGAGAGGGGGAAAAGCUAGGAAGAGGGCAGGAGAGGACGGGAUGUGGACGAAGGCAGGGGAAAAGUACAGAAAGAGAGGACCAGGGGGGCGAGGCGGGAAGAGGAGACGCGGGGACGCUGUCAGGCCCAACCACCUACAGGUGCGCUGCUGCCUGUAUGCAAGAGCCUCCCAGUUCCCCUUGUUAAAUGCAACCCAUUUCAACUCCCGGAUGCUGCCUCAAGACACACUCAAUUAUCUGAUAAACCCCAGGAAAGCUGUGCCGGAAAGUGAACGUGGGUUGUAUAAGAUGCCGGGGAAGCUUGCAGACGGACACCUUGGAACUCUCUGAAUUACAUGCACGACUCUUCUAUAAGUCUAAAAUUAUUUUUUUUUAAGUUUUAAAAGAAGAACAACACGGGCUGUUUUAAAGUAAGACUCCUGCUUUUCUAACAGUGAUUUUAUCUUUUUCGUAUAAAACCAAUGCCCUUGAUAGGGUUUAACUAUCAUAAAGUUUUGCUGGAAGGCUGGCUGAAACACUAUGGCAAAAGCUGGGCUCCUGCAACAAAAGUGAAUUAUUAAACUCGGAACGUGUUAGCAGUGCCGCUGUGCUCUGGAGCUGGGAUGCAGGGAGAGACAUGCCCCGUGCACGUAGGAGCAAGGGCUCUGAUCCGCAGAAACAGAGAGGCUUGCAAGAACCUGCCUUUACAGUCUCUUCACACACCACACUCCUGACUUCCUGCCUCCCAGGUCUUCUCCAGAGAGCCUCGCUCCCCUGGGUCCAACCCCCCAGCCCUGCUGGCAACCCUGCAGUCUGCAUGUUCCUCCACGCCUUCCAGCCUUCACAGUCUACUCCCUCUUCCCCAGUGCACUUCCACCUCUUUGCUGCAGAAUGACUUCCGCGCAUCCUGAGACCCCACGUGACUCUCACAGAAACAGCACCCCCUCCAGGGCCAUCCUGUGUGCCCCGGGGGCACCUCCACCUCCACCCACCGAAGCAGUUAUGAUGGGAUGGAAGUACAUGUCCACCUGUUCCUUUUUCCCAAAGAGACCGAGCGACUCUCAAGGAAGGGUGAGAUGCUGAAUUCAGCCCUGUAUCCACACUCACCCCUGGCACCCAAGUCUUGCAACAGAUGCUCAAUGAAUGAAAGACUUGGGAGUCAAGAAUGAGGGCAACUCUUUUAAAAGAGAAAAUACCAGUAUACAACCUUCCAUAUUCUGUGAAAGGGUCAAAAAGAUUCUAUUUGUGAGAUGUGAAAGCAUCAAGCCCUUUUAAGAGAAACAGAUUUUGUUACAGAAUGAUGGGUCCAUUUCCAUAGACAACAUGAGCCCGUCGCGAGUAUCCUCUUCCAACCGGGAAACUGAAAAGCUUUUCAAAGGUUUCGGUUUCCUUGACAACAGCAUUGCUGGAGACAAGCAGGGAAAUAAUUAAAAAGUAUGUUCUCUUCGCUUCGAA